rnacentral:rRNA from 1 species
GUGACCUACGGGACGCAGCAGUGAGGAAUAUUGGUCAAUGGGCGGAAGCCUGAACCAGCCAAGUCGCGUGAGGGAAUAAGGCCCUACGGGUCGUAAACCUCUUUUGCCGGGGAGCAAGGGCCGGGACGCGUCCCGGCCCGGAGAGUACCCGGAGAAAAAGCAUCGGCUAACUCCGUGCCAGCAGCCGCGGUAAUACGGAGGAUGCGAGCGUUAUCCGGAUUUAUUGGGUUUAUAGGGUGCGUAGGAGGGCUUUUUAAUCAUCGGUA